rnacentral:rRNA from 1 species
AUGAACGCUGACAGAAUGCUUAACACAUGCAAGUCAACUUGAACUUCGGUUUGGGUGGCGGACGGGUGAGUAACGCGUAAAGAACUUGCCUCACAGCUAGGGACAACAUUUGGAAACGAAUGCUAAUACCUGAUAUUAUGAUUAUAUGGCAUCGUAUAAUUAUGAAAGCUAUAUGCGCUGUGAGAGAGCUUUGCGUCCCAUUAGCUAGUUGGAGAGGUAACAGCUCACCAAGGCGAUGAUGGGUAGCCGGCCUGAGAGGGUGAUCGGCCACAAGGGGACUGAGACACGGCCCUUACUCCUACGGGAGGCAGCAGUGGGGAAUAUUGGACAAUGGACCGAGAGUCUGAUCCAGCAAUUCUGUGUGCACGACGAAGUUUUUCGGAAUGUAAAGUGCUUUCAGUUGGGAAGAAAAAAAUGACGGUACCAACAGAAGAAGUGACGGCUAAAUACGUG